UCCAUGGUGGCCUAGUGGUUAAGGCGCCCAUUCACUUGUGUCUGGGAAACGCGGGUUCGAGUCCCGUCAGAGGAG
rnacentral:tRNA from 1 species